UGGGGAAUCUUGGACAAUGGGGGCAACCCUGAUCCAGCCAUGCCGCGUGAGUGAUGAAGGCCUUAGGGUCGUAAAGCUCUUUCGCCUGUGAAGAUAAUGACGGUAGCAGGUAAAGAAACCCCGGCUAACUCCGUGCCAGCAGCCGCGGUAAUACGGAGGGGGUUAGCGUUGUUCGGAAUUACUGGGCGUAAAGCGCACGUAGGCGGACCAGAAAGUUGGGGGUGAAAUCCCGGGGGCUCAACCCCGGAACUGCCUCCAAAACUAUUGGUCUAGAGUUCGAGAGAGGUGAGUGGAAUUCCAAGUGUAGAGGUGAAAUUCGUAGAUAUUAGGUGGAACACCAGUGGCGAAGGCGCCUAACUGGUCCGGUACUGACGCUGAGGAACGAAAGCGUGGGGAGCAAACAGGAUUAGAUACCCUGGUAGUCCACACCGUAAACGAUGAAUGCCAGUCGUCGGGUAGCAUGCUAUUCGGUGACACACCUAACGGAUUAAGCAUUCCGCCUGGGGAGUACGGUCGC
rnacentral:rRNA from 1 species